rnacentral:rRNA from 1 species
AUGGGAAAUGCAGUGGAGAGUGUGUUUUCAGCAACACGACAUGGGCUAUGCACUUUUCACAUAAUGCAAAAUGCCGUUAAACAUUUAUCUUGUCGCAAGGACAAGGACAAGGACAAGGACAAAGAAAAUGAAGAGGACAAGGAAAAGGAAGAAUCAAAUAUUCUUGCAGACUUUAGUGCUUGCAUGUUCGAGUACGAAGAGCUGGAAAAUUUUGAGGAAGCUUUUCACACCAUGAGAACUAAAGUAGAGAAACAAACUUGGUUUGAUAGCAUUUAUAAGGUAAAAGAGAAGUGGGUUGUAUGUUAUAUGAAGGAUGCAUUCACCUUGGGGAUGCGAAGUACACAACUAAGUGAAAGUUUGAACAAUGACCUCAAGCACCAUUUGAAAUCAGAUCUUGAUGUGAUCCGUUUUUUCAAGCAUUUUGAAAGGGUUGUGCAAGGGAAACGAGACAUUGAGUUGAGUUCGGAGUAUGAGUCAAGGGAGCUAGUACCUAGGGUCAAAAUGAGAACACCCAUGCUGGUCCAAGCAAGCCAAGUUUACACUCCGGUCAUAUUCGAAUGUUUCCAAAAAGAAUAUGAGAGAUCCAUUGCAGCCUGCACUAAACAAUUGAAUGUGGAGUAUGAAUUUGCAGUAACUAUUAGUACUCCUUUUGAAGCGCCAACCUUUGAAAAGGAAUGCAAAGUCAUUGCUAAUCCAUUGGAGCAAACAACUUUUUGUAGUUGUGGACAAUUUGAGAGAAUAGGGAUAUUAUAUGCGCAUGCUCUCCGAAUUCUUGAUUUGAUGAACAUUAAGUUACUACCAGCGCAUUAUAUUUUGAAGCGAUGGACUCGAGAAGCACGGUCUGGAACUGUUCAAGAUAGAAGUGGACGAAAUGUUGUUGAGAAUCCAAUGUUGGCUGCUGUUCUUCGCUACAAAUAUCUCUCGCACAAGUUCGUAAAUUUGGCCACUCCAGCGUCUAGAUCUGAAGAAUGUUGUGUUUUACUAGAUGAUGCGCUCGAUAGUGUUGGUAAGGUUAUUGCUGCCAAGCUGCAACUUGGAAAUGAAAGUAACCCCGAUAAGGGAUGUGAUACACAAGUAAUAGCAGAAAAAUCUAAUGAAAAUUUAGCCGCUGCGCGCCUAAAGAAAAAAUCUCCUCGGAAGAAAACAAAAAAGAGAAAAUUAAGUUGGCUUGACAAAUUCCACAAGGGGAAGAAGAAGAAAGAACUAGCUGAAGUUGUGAAAGCACAAGAGUUAACUAAGCAACAAGAAAGUGGGAGCACAAAUACACAAAAUCAGAAUAAUAAUUCCCAAGGUUCUGGGUUCCGAAGCUUCACCGAUCUAUUGACGGCUUCUAGUAUUGAAGACAUUGGUGCCGAAUAUAUCUUUUGA